GAUGAACGCUGGCGGCGUGCCUAAUACAUGCAAGUCGAGCGAACGGACGAGAAGCUUGCUUCUCUGAUGUUAGCGGCGGACGGGUGAGUAACACGUGGAUAACCUACCUAUAAGACUGGGAUAACUUCGGGAAACCGGAGCUAAUACCGGAUGAUAUUUUGAACCGCAUGGUUCAACAGUGAAAGACGGUCUUGCUGUCACUUAUAGAUGGAUCCGCGCUGCAUUAGCUAGUUGGUAAGGUAACGGCUUACCAAGGCAACGAUGCAUAGCCGACCUGAGAGGGUGAUCGGCCACACUGGAACUGAGACACGGUCCAGACUCCUACGGGAGGCAGCAGUAGGGAAGCUUCCGCAAUGGGCGAAAGCCUGACGGAGAAACGCCGCGUGAGUGAUGAAGGUCUUCGGAUCGUAAAACUCUGUUAUUAGGGAAGAACAUAUGUGUAAGUAACUGUGCACAUCUUGACGGUACCUAAUCAGAAAGCCACGGCUAACUAAGUG
rnacentral:rRNA from 1 species